GUCUUCAUCACGGCGACCGUGACCAUGACUUCCUCCCGAUCGGACUCGGAGUACGACGCGUAGUCGUUGUUGCGUUCGACGAGAUACCCCAGGGUGCCGUUGCGCCGUUCUGCCAGCGGCCGGAGCCGUCCCACCAGCUCGGUGAGCUGGGUCGCCCGCUCCCGGAUCGCGCACGUGGAGGCACGAGCGACCUCGAGUUCCUGUUCCAUCCGGUCCACCUCGAGCGCGUUCGCUUCCGCGUUGGCCA
rnacentral:misc_RNA from 1 species